rnacentral:rRNA from 1 species
UACAGAGGUCCCAAGCGUUGUUCGGAUUUACUGGGCGUAAAGCGUGCGCAGGCGGUUCGUUGUGUCUGAUGUGAAAGCCCCGGGCUCAACCUGGGAAUGGCAUUGGAAACUGGCGAGCUAGAGUGUGGCAGAGGGGGGUGGAAUUCCGCGUGUAGCAGUGAAAUGCGUAGAGAUGCGGAGGAACACCGAUGGCGAAGGCAGCCCCCUGGGCUGACACUGACGCUCAGGCACGAAAGCGUGGGGAGCAAACAGG